AUGUUUACGAACAACUUUUCGCGCUUCACCGGCUAGGCGUUCUUCAUCACUGUGUUGGCGUCUCCUAUCUUCACCACUGCCGGCACAUCACAACCGUUUCACCAGAUUGUUGCAUCAAAGAAAUGAUUAGACUUUCUCAACACCAGACUGUUGCAUUAAGAAGCCAGAGAUUGAUUAGGCUCCUUGCAAUGGCUGGAUUCGAGUUCCAAAAUGGUCGUUCUAUUUCUAUAUAUAAUGGCAUUGCGGUGAGUAGUGAAUUCAAGAAUACAAUUCUAGAGAAGAAGAAUUAAAAAGGUGAAGAAUUAAGUUGGGACCCAAAUUAGAGGAAGAAUGAACACAUGACUGAUUGAAAUUACUAAUAUACGAUAAAAUUACUAAUACAAGGAGAUAUUUAGAAAUUUAUGAAUUGUUUGCAGCUAGAUUUGUGAUUAUAAUUGCAAUCCACUUACUUUAUAAUGUAAUAUUUAAUUUCACUGAUAACACUACAUAACCUCUCUUCGUUUCACCGUCACCCUCCAUACACCACCAUAAAGGUUACCGAUUGACUGAACUGGGUUCAUCACAGUUGCAAACAAUUACCUCAGUGGUACCAUACCAACUGAAUUGGGUUCAUCACAGUUGCAAUCAAUGUAAAAAUCUAUUUAUAUAAUCUUUUUGUUUAUUAACUUAAGCUUUGAAUCUUUAGUUUAUGUUUUCACAACAUUGACCCAUUGACUACGCAGCUCUCUUCUUGGAAACCACUUUUUUGGAAAGAUAGCAGCGGAACUAGGAAAUAUUACAAAACUUUGACAUAUUUGUACAUUUAUUUUCUAUUUGGUAGUGUUUGUUAUUAACCGUCCAAUUUAUUAGAUGACUAUGUC